rnacentral:rRNA from 1 species
GACAGAGGGUGCAAACGUUGCUCGGAAUCACUGGGCGUAAAGGGCGUGUAGGCGGGAAGGAAAGUCAGAUGUGAAAUCCCUGGGCUCAACCCAGGAACUGCAUUUGAAACUCCCUUUCUUGAGUGUCGGAGAGGAAAGCGGAAUUCCUGGUGUAGAGGUGAAAUUCGUAGAUAUCAGGAAGAACACCCGUGGCGAAGGCGGUUCUCUGGGACGGUACUGACGCUGAGACGCGAAAGCGUGGGGAGCGAACAGG